UGUCUGCAGGAUUGUGGGUGAUCGUCUCCCAUGCUCAGAUGCUCAGGCUCAGGCCGCGGUGUUUGGCAGAAAUCAUUGAACAUCAAAGCAGUGUGUGGACUCUGACCCCAGAAAGAAAAGUUGAAAGAGAAAAACCAAAUAUGAUGUUCAGUGUGCUUGACAAUUUCCUGGAGCAAGAGUGAAGAGAACAGGAUCCCAUCACUGAGACAUUUUAGGUAGAAUUCUUCUGUGAAACAAAGUACCCCUCAGCGACUACAUGGUUAUACUGAAGAAUAGUCCAUAUAGAAGGGAAGGAUGAAUGCUUACUUCUUUUGCAGUAUUUCCACUUUUCAAAAAAAUGUGUUGUUUUUCCAGAAUACUUCAAAGAGACAGAGUGCGAGCAUGAGCUCAGGAGAGGCAGAGAGAGAGGGAGACACAGAACCCAAAGCAGGCUCCAGGCUCCAAGCCGUCAGCACGGAGCUCAACGCGGGGCUCAAACUCAUGGACUGCGAGGUCAUGACCUGGGCCGAAGUUGGACGCUUAACCAGGCGCCCCUGGUAUUCAUCUUUCUGUCUGAGAUAUUUCAAUUACCAUUAUACCCCCUAGGUCCCUCCAUGUUGUCACAAUGAUAAGAUCUCGUUUUUUAUGGCUGAGUAAUAUUCCAUAUUCUACACAAACUCACACUCACACACACACAUACACACCCCAUCUGCUUUGUAUGUUUCUUAUUUGUAAAUGGAUCAACAUGUCACUUCAGGCUUCAUCAGAAACAAGAUCCACUGUUUCUCUCUUUAAGCCUAUGCUACAGCAAGGAAUUUAUUCACAUUAGAUGAAUCCUAGGUGAGUUAUUCAUCCUGGUACUUCCUCAAUGUCUUCAGGCUUCAGAGUAUUUGCUCUGAUUCUGGGCCAGGAUAAUGCCACUGACUGAAUGUUUAGUGAAUGUUGCAGGAGCAGAAGUGUGGAGCCACCAUAGCCAUGUUCACAGACACCAACAAAGCUUUCAAGAUGGAAUGGGAAUCUAUGGAUCACCAGUGGGCACUAGAUAAUGUCGAAGAGGAGCUCAUGGCCAAGACAUCCACUUUGAAGCCAUAUUCAGAAAGGAAUUACAGACUUAUACUUUUUGAAGGCCAAAGGGAUCAGCUUUGUCAGAAACUUGGAGUACUGCAUAACCCUGUAGCUAUCAUGUGAGCUGGAGCCUCUCAGAAUAAAAAGGAGGAUACAUGAGCUAUACAUGUUAACUAUUCCUCACUAUUAUGGGCAGUUUGGCUGAUUUCUCACCACAGUAAACUCUUGUUUUCUUUGGAUACAAACACCCUGAAUUUUACCUUUAAUUUUUUGUUAGUGUUUUUAUAACUUCAUUUAUACAAAUAAUGCAUUUUCAUUAUCAAAAAUGUAGUAACUAUGGAUGAACAAAGUGAAGCUCCCUGUAUUGUUCAUUUUGUGUUUGCAGAAUGACAUGCAGAGCAAAUAUGUUGUAAGUCUUAUUC